rnacentral:lncRNA from 10 species
UAGCCCUCCAAAUCUUGCCAUGUGUCUUAGGUAACAGAGCAUGGGACAGAGCCACUGCAGCCAUGCCCAGGGAGGGCCGGGCAUUGUGAGGUUUUGGGCAGAACGUGGCUGCACUGUGCACGCGGUGAGGGAUCGAAGGGGGCCCCCAAAGACACUCGAAGAACAGUGGGGGCCCUGAAAAGUGCCAAUGCUGAGCCCAGACAGAUGGAAGACCUUGGACAAAUUCCCCGACACCCCUGAGCCUCGAUUUCCUCAUCUGAAAAGUGGGGUGGUGAUGACAGCACAUCUCAGAGGGCUGGGAGGACGAAGCCACCAAGUGACAGCUGCGAUGGAUCCACAGGGGCAGCAGCCGAGCAACCCGAGAUCUGCAGAGCCAUGGUGGGCCCAGCCCCAUCCUGCCCCCCAUGCAGCCAGUGAGAAGCCCUGCUGCUGGAGGGGAUGGAGCUACGGGGACCGAUCAAUUACACCACAGUGUGAGGUCUCUGUGCCUUCCAAACUCCAUCCUGAGUGUUUAUUGCCUCAAAAAUGAAGGGUGGGAGCCCCAAAGACCAAACAAACAGCUGAUGAGAGAGAGAGAGAGAGAGAGAGGGAGAGAGAGAAAGAAUGGGUCUGCACUGCAGCCUGUGCUAUAACAAGAGACAGAGGGACCCUCUUGACUGGGGUCUCCAGCUGAGAGCGGGGAGGCCCCCUGGGGAGGUCUCUUCCAAGGUCUGAGGAAGGAGGAGAGGUGGAUGGGGCCUUGGGAUUAGGGAGAUGGGGCGGGGCCACCAUGUGUUGGCUGUGGGGCCCUGGGCAAGGAGUUAACCUCUCUGUGCCUCAGUCUCCUCCUCUAUAAAAUGGGUAUGACAGACAGUAAUAGUCUCUCCACCCUUAAAGGGCCGUUGUGAAGAUUAAAGAAGUGAACAAUUGUUGGUGCUUGGAGCAAAGCCUGGCUCUGGCAGUGGGCUUUGUAUUUAUGUUUGGUCAGUAUAUAAGAGUAAAUGCUUAAGACCAGCUGGGGAACCACAGCGAGAUCCCAUCUCCACAAAAAAUAAAAUUAAAAAAAAAAAUUAGCCGGACAUGGUAGCAUGUGCCUGUGUUCCCAGCUA